GAUGAACGCUGGCGGCGUGCCUAAUACAUGCAAGUCGAGCGAACAGACGAGGAGCUUGCUCCUUUGACGUUAGCGGCGGACGGGUGAGUAACACGUGGAUAACCUACCUAUAAGACUGGGAUAACUUCGGGAAACCGGAGCUCAUACCGGAUAACAUGUUGAACCGCAUGGUUCAACAGUGAAAGACGGUCUUGCUGUCACUUAUAGAUGGAUCCGCGCCGCAUUAGCUAGUUGGUAAGGUAACGGCUUACCAAGGCAACGAUGCGUAGCCGACCUGAGAGGGUGAUCGGCCACACUGGAACUGAGACACGGUCCAGACUCCUACGGGAGGCAGCAGUAGGGAAAUCUUCCGCAAUGGGCGAAAGCCUGACGGAGCAACGCCGCGUGAGUGAAGAAGGUCUUCGGAUCGUAAAACUCUGUUAUUAGGGAAGAACAAAUGUGUAAGUAACUAUGCACGUCUUGACGGUACCUAAUCAGAAAGCCACGGCUAACUACGUG
rnacentral:rRNA from 1 species